GAUGAACGCUGGCGGCGUGCUUAACACAUGCAAGUCGAACGGAAAGGCCCAAGCUUGCUUGGGUACUCGAGUGGCGAACGGGUGAGUAACACGUGGGUGAUCUGCCCUGCACUUCGGGAUAAGCCUGGGAAACUGGGUCUAAUACCGGAUAGGACGAUUGUUUGGAUGCCAUUGUGGAAAGAUUUUUCGGUGUGGGAUGAGCUCGCGGCCUAUCAGCUUGUUGGUGGGGUAAUGGCCUACCAAGGCGUCGACGGGUAGCCGGCCUGUGAGGGUGUACGGCCGCAUUGGGACUGAGAUACGGCCCAGACUACUACAGGAGGCAGAAGUGGGGAAUAUUGCACGAUGGGAGGCAGCCUGAUGCAGCGACGCCGCGUGGGGGAUGACGGCCUUCGGGUUGUAAACUCCUUUCGCUAGGGACGAAGCGUUUUUGUGACGGUACCUGGAGAAGAAGCACCGGCUAACUACGUG
rnacentral:rRNA from 1 species